rnacentral:rRNA from 1 species
GACAGAGGUGCCGAGCGUUAGGCGGAAUCACUGGGCUUAAAGCGUGUGUAGGCGGAUGCUUAAGUACCUUGUGAAAUCCCACGGCUUAACCGUGGAACUGCUUGGUAUACUGGGUGUCUUGAGCCACUUAGGGGCGACCGGAACAAACGGUGGAGCGGUGAAAUGCGUAGAUAUCGUUUGGAACGCCAAUGGUGAAAACAGGUCGCUGGGAGUGUGCUGACGCUGAGACACGAAAGCCAGGGGAGCGAACGGG